UUAGCUACAGUAGGUACAGUAGGUACGGUAGGGAAAGUAGGUAGAUGCAGUAGAUACAGUAGGUAUAGAUUCAGUAGGUACAGUAGAUAGAUACAGUAAGUGCAUUAGGUAGACACAUUAGCUACAGUAGGUACAGUAGGUACGGUAGGGAAAGUAGGUAGAUGCAGUAGAUACAGUAGGUACAGUAGGUACAGUACAUAGAUACAGUAGCUACAGUAGGGAGAGUAGGUAGAUACAGUAGGUGAAGUAGAUACAGUAGAUGCAGUAGGUACAGUGGGUAGAUAAAGUAGGUAGAUACAGUAGGUACAGUAGAUGCAGUAGGUACAGCAGCUACAGUAGAUACAGUAGGUUAAGUAGGUACAGUAGGUACAGUAGAUAGGUUAAGCAGAUACAGUAGGUACAGUAGGGAAGUAGAUACAGUAGGUGAAGUAGAUACAGUAGAUGUAGUAGGUACAGUAGGUGAAGUAGGUAGCUAAAGUAGGUGGAGUAGAUACAGUAGAUGUAGUAGGUGCAGUAGAUACAGUAGACACAGUAGAUAACGUAGGAAGGUACAGUAGAUACAGUAGGUAGAUAACAUAGGAAGGUACAGUAGAUACAGUAGGUAGAUAACAUAGGAAGGUACAGUAGAUACAGUAGGUAGAUAAAGUAGGAAGGUACAGUAGGUACAGUAGGUGAAGUCAGUACAGUAGGUGUGGUAGAUACAGUAGAUAGCUAAAGUAGGUAGGUACAGUAGGUUCAGUAGGUAAAAUAGGUUGUACUUCAAUAAUUUAUAAUGUCAAGACAUGUUCGUUUAUAACCAAAUAUGGAGUGUCGUUGAGCAACUAUCUUAAUUUACUGCCAUCAAGCCCAGUGUGUACUUCCAAAAAUUUUUACAAGCAACUGAAAAAAUAUAUUGUUUGGAAAUAAUGUGUAUUGUUU
rnacentral:lncRNA from 1 species